AGUAGCCGCGGUAAUUCCAGCUCCAAUAGCGUAUAUUAAAGUUGUUGCAGUUAAAAAGCUCGUAGUUGAAUUUCGGGGUUAGUAGGUUGGUCAUGCCUCUGGUAUGUACUGGUCUCACUGAUUCCUCCUUCCUGAUGAACCGUAAUGCCAUUAAUUUGGUGUUGCGGGGAAUUUGGACUGUUACUUUGAAAAAAUUUAGAGUGUUUAAAGCAAGCUAACGCUUGAAUACAUUAGCAUGGAAUAAUGAAAUAGGACGUUCGAUCCUAUUUUGUUGGUUUCUAGGAUUGACGUAAUGAUUAAUAGGGAUAGUUGGGGGGCAUUAGUAUUCAAUUGUCAGAGGUGAAAUUCUUGGAUUUAUUGAAGACUAACUACUGCGAAAGCAUUUGCCAAGGAUGUUUUCAUUAAUCAAGAACGAAAGUUAGGGGAUCGAAGACGAUCAGAUACCGUCGUAGUCUUAACCAUAAACUAUGCCGACUAGGGAUCGGAUGAUGUUAAUUUUUUAAUGACUCAUUCGGCGCCU
rnacentral:rRNA from 1 species